CCUACGGGUGGCUGCAGUGGGGAAUAUUGGACAAUGGGGGGAACCCUGAUCCAGCCAUGCCGCGUGUGUGAAGAAGGCCCUCGGGUUGUAAAGCACUUUCAGUGAGGAAGAACGCCUGGUGGUUAAUACCCAUCAGGAAAGACAUCACUCACAGAAGAAGCACCGGCUAACUCCGUGCCAGCAGCCGCGGUAAUACGGAGGGUGCGAGCGUUAAUCGGAAUUACUGGGCGUAAAGCGCGCGUAGGUGGCUUGAUAAGCCGGUUGUGAAAGCCCCGGGCUCAACCUGGGAACGGCAUCCGGAACUGUCAAGCUAGAGUGCAGGAGAGGAAGGUAGAAUUCCCGGUGUAGCGGUGAAAUGCGUAGAGAUCGGGAGGAAUACCAGUGGCGAAGGCGGCCUUCUGGACUGACACUGACACUGAGGAGCGAAAGCGUGGGUAGCAAACAGGAUUAGAUACCCUGGUAGUC
rnacentral:rRNA from 1 species